rnacentral:lncRNA from 1 species
UAGGCCUUCCUUGGAAUAGGAUUGAGGAAGUGCUCAGAAGGUUCUUGAAUGUUGACAUGUUACCAAGCCUGCGCUAUGUGGGGCCUGAGGUGCGUCAUCUGAUAGUGUUUCCUCAAAGGGACAGGAAAAUCUUCCUUCACUAAGAUGAGAAGACAGGCAGUGGUGAGAAGCCGUUGGUGUACUGGAGAAGACGGGAGCAGGAGGAGCUCUGAAGGCCAUGUUUAUGGAAGAAGUGGAGAGAGAAUAAGCCCAGGAAAUUGGGAGGAUCUGUUCAGCAGAGCUACAUGAAAGCCCUGACCGAGGCCAUUUGCUCCUUCCGGUAUUCCAUGCCAGUAAGCAGGUGAGGAAAGAGAAAGCAUCUUGACCUACAAUGCCCAUCUUUCUGUCCACUGUCCAUGUACCUAGCACACCCAGAUCCUGUCUCUAUGGCCAGCUGUGGGAGGGAAGUCAUCUUUGAUGGGAACAGGGAAAGUCAGCUUCCUGGAACCUGAACUUCAUACCCACCCCAAAUCCCUUCCAGAACUUGUCUUUUUGUUUUCUCUUCUAUGUUUUCCAAGAGCCAG